AAAUUCAAAGUAUUACAGAAAGUAAAAUUGCAACACAUACAAUAAAAAUAAAAUCAAAUAUUUGUGCGGGGGUAGGCGUGGAAGAAGAAAGGGAUGGAUAAUAGGUGGGAGAGAAAGAGGUGGACAGUAUAACAGAGGUAGCCAUGUUGUGAGAACUUCAAAACUACCAUUUGCCUAAUUAUUGGAUUUAUUUAUUUAUUAUUAUUUGUACCUACAAAAAUAGAAGGAAAAAAAAAAGGUUUACAUUUAAUAUUUUAUGAUCCUUAAGGCAUCACAAGAAUACAAGAAGGUUGGGAAGACAAAUUCUAAAUCUACACAGAAAUAUCAAACACAUUCUUUCUUGGCACUUACGCAAUCAUUGCUUUUUCUUUUCGUGGGCGACAUUGUUGUUGUUGUUUUCUUCUUCAGUGAAGAUGGACAAUCGAGAAUCAUUAUUAGAGUCUCAGUUCAUCCGAUGAUGUGUUUUAGACUCCGGCAUCUUCAAAUCACAAGAUCCAAACACUUCUUGAAUGUCUACGUGCACCCAAGAAGAAAACACGAAUAAAGAAAUAAUCAAUUCGUAAGGAGAUUGAGAAAACUUUCUUUUAAUGUAAUGACGCGGUAAGAAAAUAGAUUUGUUGUGUUGUGUGGUGUGGUGGAAGAAAUUACAAAUCAUUCCCCUCUUUAUUUCUCUUAAAUUUUCAUGAAGCAAAUGAGUUUUUAUUUGAGUAGGGUUUACACUAAUAGCCCAUGUUAUAGGCUAUAUUGAUUUGCAAUGAAUUGGAUUACUUGGA